rnacentral:misc_RNA from 1 species
AGCAGCCGCGGUAAUUCCAGCUCCAAUAGCGUAUAUUAAAGUUGUUGCAGUUAAAAAGCUCGUAGUUGAAUUUCGGGGUUAGUAGGUUGGUCAUGCCUCUGGUAUGUACUGGUCUCACUGAUUCCUCCUUCCUGAUGAACCUUAAUGCCAUUUAUUUGGUGUUUUGGGGAAUUUGGACUGUUACUUUGAAAAAAUUAGAGUGUUUAAAGCAAGCUAACGCUUGAAUACAUUAGCAUGGAAUAAUGAAAUAGGACGUUCGAUCCUAUUUUGUUGGUUUCUAGGAUUGACGUAAUGAUUAAUAGGGAUAGUUGGGGGCAUUAGUAUUCAAUUGUCAGAGGUGAAAUUCUUGGAUUUAUUGAAGACUAACUACUGCGAAAGCAUUUGCCAAGGAUGUUUUCAUUAAUCAAGAACGAAAGUUAGGGGAUCGAAGACGAUCAGAUACCGUCGUAGUCUUAACCAUAAACUAUGCCGACUAGGGACCGGAUGAUGUUAAUUUUUU